rnacentral:rRNA from 1 species
AUUGAACGCUGGCGGCAGGCCUAACACAUGCAAGUCGAACGAGUGGCGGACGGGUGAGUAAUGUCUGGGAAACUGCCUGAUGGAGGGGGAUAACUACUGGAAACGGUAGCUAAUACCGCAUACCAUCGGAUGUGCCCAGAUGGGCUUAGCUAGUAGGUGGGGUACCGGCUCACCUAGGCGACGAUCCCUAGCUGGUCUGAGAGGCUGACCAGCAACACUGGAACUGAGACACGGUCCAGACGCCGACGGGAGGCAGCAGGGGGGAAUAUUGCACAAUGGGCGCAAGCCGGAGGCAGCCAGGCCGCGUGUAUGAAGAAGGACUUCGGGUUGUAAAGUACUUUCAGCGGGGAGGCGUUACCCGCAGAAGAAGCACCGGCUAACUCCGUGCCAGCCGCCGCGGUAAUAC